GCGCCGAAGGCGCGUGCCAAUCAUCUUGGCCUUUCGAGCCGAGGACAGGGGUUCGAAUCCCCUACCGAGCA
rnacentral:tRNA from 1 species